GACGAACGCUGGCGGCGUGCUUAACACAUGCAAGUCGAACGGUGAAGCGCCUUCCUUUUUGGUUGGUGUGGAUGAGUGGCGAACGGGUGAGUAACACGUGAGUAACCUGCCCCCUUCUUCUGGAUAACCGCAUGAAAGUGUGGCUAAUACGGGAUAUUCUGGGUCUGUCGCAUGAUGGGUCUGGGUCAGAUAUUGUUUCGGUGGGGGAUGGGCUCGCGGUCUAUCAGCUUGUUGGUGGGGUGAUGGCCUACCAAGGCGGUGACGGGUAGCCGGGCUGAGAGGGUGGGCGGGCACACUGGGACUGAGAGCCGGACCAGAACCCUACGGGAGGCAGCAGUGGGGAAUAUUGCACAAUGGGCGAAAGUCUGAUGCAGCGACGCCGCGUGAGGGAUGGAGGCCUGCGGGUUGUGAACCUCUUUCGGCAGUGAAGCAGGCCUGCCUAGUUUGUGGGUGGGUUGACGGUAGCUGGAUAAGAAGCGCCGGCUAACUACGUG
rnacentral:rRNA from 1 species